AGUGAACGCUGGCGGUAGGCCUAACACAUGCAAGUCGAACGGCAACACGGUGAGAGCUGGCGCCGACGGGCGGAGGGGGGCGUACGGGUGAGGAAUACAUCGGAAUCUACGUUUUAGCUGGGGAUAAGGGAGGCUAAUACACCAUAAGACCGAAUACGAACUGCGGGUGAAAGCAGGGGAUCUUGGGACUUUGCGCGAUUGAAUGAGCCGAUGUCGGAUUAGCUAGUUGGGGGGGUAAAGGCACACCAAGGCGACGAUCCGUAGCUGGUCUGAGAGGAUGAUCAGCCACACUGGAACUGAGACACGGUCCAGACUCCUACGGGAGGCAGCAGUGGGGAAUAUUGGACAAUGGGCGCAAGCCUGAUCCAGCCAUACCGCGUGGGGGAAGAAGGCCUUCGGGUUGUAAAGUCCUUUUGUUCGGAAAGAAAAGCAGCAGGUUAAUACCCCGCGGUUCUGACGGUACCCUAAGAAUAAGCACCGGCUAACUUCGUG
rnacentral:rRNA from 1 species